rnacentral:rRNA from 1 species
AGUGAACGCUGGCGGUAGGCCUAACACAUGCAAGUCGAACGGCAGCACAGUAAGAGCUUGCUCUUACGGGUGGCGAGUGGCGGACGGGUGAGGAAUACAUCGGAAUCUACUUUUUCGUGGGUGAUAACGUAGGGAAACUUACGCUAAUACCGCAUACGACCUACGGGUUAAAGCAGGGGAUCUUCGGACCUUGCGCGAUUGAAUGAGCCGAUGUCGGAUUAGCUAGUUGGCGGGGUAAAGGCCCACCAAGGCGACGAUCCGUAGCUGGUCUGAGAGGAUGAUCAGCCACACUGGAACGGAGACACGGUCCAGACUACUAAGGGAGGGAGCAGUGGGGAAUAUUGGACAAUGGGCGCAAGCAUGAUCCAGCCAUCCCGCGUGGGUGAAGAAGGCCUUCGGGUUGUAAAGACCUUUUGUUGGGAAAGAAAAGCAGCAGGUUAAUACCCCGCUGUUCUGACGGUACCCAAAGAAUAAGCACCGGCUAACUUCGUG